GAGGGCAUAGCGCAGUGGCAGAGUAUGUGCUUAGCACACAUAAGGUCCUGGGUUCAAUCCCCAGUGCCUCCA
rnacentral:tRNA from 1 species